GGAGCGGUAGUUCAGUUGGUUAGAACGCCUGCCUGUCACGCAGGAGGUCGCGGGUUCGAAUCCCGUCCGUUCCGCCA
rnacentral:tRNA from 1 species